UGCCAGCCGCCGCGGUAAUACGGAGGGUGCGAGCGUUGUUCGGAAUUAUUGGGCGUAAAGCGCGUGUAGGCGGUUCGUUAAGUCUGAUGUGAAAGCCCGGGGCUCAACCCCGGAAGUGCAUUGGAAACUGGCGAACUUGAGUACGGGAGAGGAAAGUGGAAUUCCGAGUGUAGGGGUGAAAUCCGUAGAUAUUCGGAGGAACACCAGUGGCGAAGGCGACUAACUGGACUGAUACUGACGCUGAGGUGCGAAAGUGUGGGGAGCAAACAGGAUUAGAUA
rnacentral:rRNA from 1 species